GAUGAACGCUAGCGACAGGCUUAACACAUGCAAGUCGAGGGGCAGCAUAAAAGUAGCAAUACUUUGGUGGCGACCGGCGCACGGGUGAGUAACGCGUAUGCAACCUAUCUAUCAGCGGGGAAUAACCCGGCGAAAGUUGGACUAAUACAGCAUAAAACAGGGGCACCGCAUGGUGAAAUUUGUUAAAGAACUGCGCUGAUAGAUGGGCAUGCGUUCCACUAGGUAGUUGGUGAGGUAACGGCUCGCCAAGCCGACGAUGGAUAGGGGAACUGAGAGGUUGGUCCCCCACACUGGUACUGAGACACGGACCAGACUCCUACGGGAGGCAGCAGUGAAGAAUAUUGGUCAAUGGGCGGGAGCCUGAACCAGCCAAGUCGCGUGAAGGAAGAAGGAUCUAUGGUUCGUAAACUUCUUUUGCAGGGGAAUAAAGUGCAGGACGUGUCCUGUUUUGUAUGUACCCUGAGAAUAAGGAUCGGCUAACUCCGUGCCAGCCGCCGCGGUAA
rnacentral:rRNA from 1 species